UACGUAGGGUGCGAGCGUUGUCCGGAAUUAUUGGGCGUAAAGAGCUUGUAGGCGGUUUGUCGCGUCGACUGUGAAAACCUACAGCUUAACUGUGGGCUUGCAGUCGAUACGGGCAGACUUGAGUUCGGUAGGGGAGACUGGAAUUCCUGGUGUAGCGGUGAAAUGCGCAGAUAUCAGGAGGAACACCGAUGGCGAAGGCAGAUCUCUGGGCCGUGAACUGACGCUGAGGAGCGAAAGCAUGGGGAGCGAACAGG
rnacentral:rRNA from 1 species